CAUCCCCAAAUCCGCGCCCACAUCUUCACCCUAUCUCUGCCGCGCCCAAACCACCAUAACUCCACCCUAAUCUCACUCAUGGUCCCCAUUUCUCUUCUCUCCUUCCUCCACGGUCCGUACCAAGCUUCAUCAUUGUCACGCAUUUUCUCUUCAUUUUUCUUUUUUCCGAAUUUGUCUCUUUUAGGCGAGAAUAGAAAAAUGGGGUGCGUAGGAUCGAGUUACACUUGAUCUACUCCCUCCAUUUGUCUUAUCUCGUCCAUUGAAAGGAUUUUCGAAUUUUUGAAUAAACAUUUUUCGGAUUUUUGUUUUGAGAUCCACACGGUUUUGGGUGUUGCUUGGAGAAUAGGAGAAGAAGAUUCGAGAAGGGAUAUAUAUUUGGGGGGUCAGGCAGAUUUGAGGGGAGUUUUUGAGAGAAAAUUCGGAAGAAAAGAGCUAGGGUUCCUUGAUUUUUAGUUCUCCUAAUUCUCAGUUGAUUCAUAGAUAAAAUAUUAGAGUUCUUUCUUAGUUUUUCUUUUAACUUUUGAAACAGAAAACAAAAAAAAAUUAGCUACUGAUUUGAUUUUUUUUUCAAAAAUGGAUUGCGUUUGAGGUGAACUCGAGUUCGCGUUCAAUUUCCGGUGCCGUCCGAGUUUUAGUUGGCAGUCCCUUCAUGUUCUUGUUUGGAAUUUGGAGUAAAAGCUUUGUAUACGCCGAAUCUUCUAUUCUAUCGAAAGAUUAAGCUUCAACAGGUUCAUUUUUGUCUCCCCUGACGCGUUUGAUUUUAUGUUAGAUUGAAUCUUCCUCCACUACUUGUGUUCUGUUUCAUUUUCGUGCUUAAUGUCUAUGGUUUCCUGUCUGUUCUGUUUGGACAUAUUGGAUUGCUAUAUGAUUUACUUUCGUGAUCAGUGAAUUAGUAUCGAAUUGCGUCGAGUUUCACAUGAAUAUGCAGUGUAUUCCCUUAAUUUUCUUGCUUGAAUUCUGACUGACUUUCCUAAUUCACUUGUCGAUAAAGAUCUAUUUGUGCCUCUUUGAUAUGGUUUGAGUUGGUUGUGGCUUUCAUCUUUAAGGAUUUCAAAAGAUAAACUAAAGGUUCUGCCGGUUUGAAUUUGUAGUUCGAAGUUAUGUUCAUUGUCAUGUUCUCUGACUUUUAUGUUUAAAUUGGCACUCGAUACUUAGUUGAUCUUCUGCUAUUAGAGAUACUGGGAUGUGUAGAACUCGAAGAACCUUGUUAGUGACGAGAAGUGUGACGACAACGAAAGUGUGUUUUAUGAGUUGAAAUCUUGAUGUACAGAUGUCAACUUUGCAUACUUGACAUUUGCUUCUUGUGAUUUUGCGCAACGCUCAGAUUCAUCUGAUAUUCUAUUUUCUUUGCAAGUAAUCUUAAACAUGUUGAAGCAUUCUGUUGAUUAGUGGCUUCCCUUAUUGUCAUAUUUGAGUUGAUUCCCCGUGAAACAAUGGCCAUUGUGUGAUGUCGAGUCCGCUCGGUAGUUUAGUGUCUUAAAACAGGUUUCAUUGUGUUAAAGUUAGUUAAAUCAACCUCUUGCUGUCGGCAUGGUGAUUAUGUUCAGAUGUUGAAUUGAUGUAUGGUAUCGGUUAGUCAUAGUUAAGUAACAGAUUCACAUAAGAAGUCCUAUUAAUUAUCAUGGUUAGGUCAUGAACUUUAUGUAAAGAACAUGUCAUUAUAGUUACUGUUUUGGUGCAUCCAUUCAUGUAUCAGGUGAGAUUUAGUGCAUCUGUGCCUAUGAAGUUGCCUCCAAUGCCUUCUCGAAAUGCUUUUCUCUUGAUAUUAGGACCAGUGUGACGGGUCGAAAUGCUUAAAAUUUAUUUGAGCGGGUAGAGUGCUUUCAUACCUACAUGUUCAAUUAAUCCAUUAUGUCUCGACACAGCAUGCCUAAUUCUUGACAAGCUCGUUGUUUUUCUCUUGCACUUCUGAUAGAUGUCUUGUUUGUCUAUUGUGUUUGUGAAGGGGUGUUAGGUUUCUGAGAGUUGAGUGGUUGGAGGAUAUAGAGUAGGUGACUGAUUAAAAGGCUCUUACCAUAUUUCAAAUGCACAAAUUUUUCUUUCCCUUCCUUAACUUGCUGUUUUGUAGUAUGUUUGAUUGCCUAUUUUGUCUGGUUUUGCUGCAUUUAUUUGGAUUGUUGGGUCGUGGGGAGUGGUAGAAAUACCAAAGCUCAUUAGAAAUUAAUUUGUUCCAUGCUUUAGGUAUCGGGCUCGGCCUAAUAAAAAUAAAGAGAUAAAAAUAAAAUAUGAGCAUGAAUUAGAUCUUUCUUGUAGUCAUCUUUUAUUUUAAGGUAUUCGUUAGGAACAUGCUUAGGCCGACCACACUUGGGUAGGCAAGCCUUAGGAUUUGUUUGUUUCGAGGCGAGAAGUCGUUCCCUUAGUUAAAUUCAUCUGGGGAAUGCCCCGAAGGAUUUGUAUAUAUUUUAUUUCGGGGAAUGCCCCGUAGUAUUCUGUGAUUGGAGGCUGAAAACGAACUCGUAGUACUUCUACUCUUAUUUUAUUCUUAUUUUUAUCUUUCUUUUAUUAGGUGGGAAUGAUCUCGAGUCUCUUAUGUGUUUAUUUUCUUUUUCUGUGUAUUUUUACCUUAAUUCAAAUAUUCUAAAAGCCAACUAGAUUGACUAUGCAACCGUACUAGUUACGGGACUCAGAAAGUGCCUAACACCUUCUCCCCGGUCAAAUGAACCCCUUUACCCAAGUCGGGUGGCGACUCUGAGUUAUUUCUUUUGAACACAAUUUUGUCACUUUCUAAUUGAAAAUCCUUUUUAACUUUACAAAUCCUUUUAUAUUUUUAACAGGGUUAGUGAGGUUGUAAAAAAAGGGGUGUGACAGAUUAUAUUGGUAAAAAUUGCACGGGCUUUAAUCUAUUUUCAUUUUUUAAUUUUUUUUUUAACUUGUACCCAUAUUUUAAACAACUUCAAUCCCCUUUCUCCUUCUCCUCCUCAAAGUUAUAUCUGCCCUCAACCUCUUUCUGAAGUUCGUGACUAAAGGUCCUUGCUUGAUUAAAUGGUGGUAAUAGAUGAUCUAUUAAGUGACGAAGCUACAGAUCCUAUUUGAUAAUGCAUGACAUUAGCAGCAACAUAUUAGUUUAUGUAAAUUGUUAAAAAGUUUCUUGCUUUAUCAAAUAUCGAUUAACAGUUCAUUUGGAUGGUUUAGUUGUUGAACUAAUCAUCUAAAUAAUUGGUCCGGUUAGAGAGUUAUAAGAUGAGGUAUCCUUGCUAUUGAAUGCUUUAUGUGACUGUAAAGCAGCUAUUUUCAUAUUUUCGUGACAGUAUCAUUAUGAAGGGAAGAAGACUCUAGAGUUUCAGCUCUAGAACUGAAGUUCGCCAGUUACAAACAAAAACUUCAUCUCUAGAGCUAAAGUUCGCCAGUUACAAAAACAAAAACUUCAGCUGUAGAGCUGAAGUUCACCAGUUACAAACAAAAACUUCAGCUCUAGAGCUGAAGUUCGCCAGUUACAACAAAAACUUCAGCUCUAGAGCUGAAAUUCGCCAGUUACAAAAACAAAAACUUUAGCAAUUACAAACAAAAACUUCAGCACACUUGGUUUAGCACACUUGCUACUUUAGUCUCGUCUACUAGAAUGCUGAAGUUUUGUGUGAUUGCCUUUGCUAUUUCAGCCCUGUAUGCUGAAGUAACGCGAAAAAUUGGGUAUGCUUGCAAUUGUUUUUGCAAAGCGGGCACAAGUUAAAACGUGACUCAAGAAGCGUAUAUAGAUGCAAAUGCCCCGUUAUAUUGUUGGAAUUUUCUUGUGUCAAAUUGCGACGGAUUACAAACAUUCCCAUCUUAGAGUUAUUUAUGUUAUGGAGUCAACAGAGUCAUACACUCUACGUUAUUCUUUUCAUCUAUUUAAGUUUGAGUGUAUAGAAUUAUUUGGUACAAAUAAGAGAUAAUAACAUGUACUCAGUGCAAUUAGUUGAGGGCACAAGCGACAUUAGUGUUAUAAAAAAAAAAAAUUGUAUUAGGGAGUAUAUAUAUUAAGG
rnacentral:lncRNA from 1 species